AUGUGUGUACCAAAAGACCAAGGAGGAAUGGGUUUUCGAGACAUACAUUGCUUCAAUUUGGCCUUGUUAGCCAAACAAGCGUGGCGCCUGCUUGAUAAUCCUGAUUCCUUAUGUGCCACCAUUUUGAGAGCUAAAUAUGGAGAUUUAAUGAAUGCGAGUCUUAAAAAAGGAUCUUCUUUCACUUGGCAAAGCAUUAUGGCGGGUGUGGAUUCUCUCAAAAAUGAUUAUAUUUGUAGAGUUGGAAAUGGACAAAAUAUUGAUAUUUGGAGAGAUGCAUGGAUCCCGAAUGGGGCCAAUAGGAAAACUAUCACUCCUAGAAGAGGGCGGCUUCUAACAAAAUUUGUCGAUCUUAUAGAUCCAAUCAACAAUUGCUGGGAUGAAGAUUCGGUAAGACAAACGUUGUGGCCAAUUGAUAUCCAGAGGGUGCUUGCGAUCUCCCUCCCCACGUAUAACAUGUCGGAUUUCAUAGCUUGGAGUUUUACAAAGAAUGGACUGUUCACUGUUCGUUCUGCUUAUCUGGAGGAAUGGAAAAAAGAAACAUGGGAGGAAAUUGCAACACUCAAAUGGCAUGGGAGGAAUAAAUGCUAA
rnacentral:rRNA from 1 species